UGGGGAAUCUUGGACAAUGGGGGCAACCCUGAUCCAGCAAUGCCGCGUGUGUGAAGAAGGCCUGCGGGUUGUAAAGCACUUUCAGUAGAGAAGAAAAGCUUAAGGUUAAUACCCUUAAGUCUUGACGUAACCUACAGAAGAAGCACCGGCUAACUCCGUGCCAGCAGCCGCGGUAAUACGGAGGGUGCGAGCGUUAAUCGGAAUUACUGGGCGUAAAGCGCGCGUAGGCGGACUAUUAAGUCAGGGGUGAAAUCCCGGGGCUCAACCCCGGAACUGCCUUUGAUACUGGUAGUCUUGAGUUCGAGAGAGGUGAGUGGAAUUCCGAGUGUAGAGGUGAAAUUCGUAGAUAUUCGGAGGAACACCAGUGGCGAAGGCGGCUCACUGGCUCGAUACUGACGCUGAGGUGCGAAAGUGUGGGGAGCAAACAGGAUUAGAUACCCCCGUAGUCC
rnacentral:rRNA from 1 species